GCAGGGGUAGCCAAGCCAGGUCAACGGCGACAGACUCAAGAUCUGUUCCUGUAGAGGUUCGGGAGUUCAAAUCUCCUCCCCUGCA
rfam:Thermoplasmatales archaeon SCGC AB-539-N05 MBGDN05_Contig44.44, whole genome shotgun sequence.